UGUGUAUUAGUGUAAAGAGCACAAAAAGGUUUGAUUUUUUUAGGAGAGGUGUAAUUCCUCUAUACAUAA
rnacentral:tRNA from 1 species